CAGAACGCUGGUUGUACCGCACGCUGCUCACAAUUUCACAUUUUUCUUUACAACCUUGAAGCUACGUAGAUUUCCCGCUUGUAAGCACCGAGUGCCUUUUGUGGUCUUUUUGAACAUUUCAAUGGUCAACCCGUUUAACCACCUCCAGGAUUUGUACUAUCAAACUGAACCUGCUUUUUCCCGCUGAGCUCACAAACUCCUGACUUCUGUUGCAAGAGGCAAUAGGCCUCACGGUUCUGCUGAAUGCAAAAAGAUUCAUUUCUUCAGUAUCUCCGGAGUUAUUGAUGUGAGGAAUGAGUGAACCAAAUGCUGCCCACCAUUCUCUUAACUGUGCUUCAAGAAAUAGGAUAUUAUUCCAAGAUUCCGGAGUGACCUGAAUGACUGCACACGGCUUGGAAGAUGGCAUGUGGGUGGAUUUGGUCUGUUAGAUCGGACGGCAGAGGUGAUAGCAGCUCAGAGCCACUCAAGGAGCUGCAGUAGAGGAGUGGCGACCACCUUGUGGUGCCCAACUGACACCUACCACUGUGAUAUGUCUGACAAGUGAGCACUUAACCCUAAGUACUUAUUAUUACUGAGUGAGUCAUCAAAUGAGUGAAGGUGUUGCAUUUGGAGUGUACCUGAAGAAGCUGAUCAAUUUGGAGGACUUUGAGUUGGAUGUGAUAUAUCUGUAUUGUAACAAAGCUACUGUAUAAAAAUAUUGUUAUUUCUUACUAUAUGACUAGCUUUUCAAGUAAAUAGCUCAGGGCAAAUAUUUUUUUAAGUGUAGGUAUAUAUGUGUUGUUGUACCUCUUCCGUCUAUACAUUUAUUCUGUUAAAGUUAAUUAGCGACAGUGAAAUAGUAAGUUUAAAUGAUUGAUGAUGUUGAUAGUAAUAGAACUAUGUAGUUUAGAAGUGCAGCUUCUUAAAUGUAUAAGUUAUGUAACGCAAAGAUAAGACCAAUGUUUCAUGAUUGAAAAGUCCAAGGGAUUGUUUAAAAAAUUUAUACUAGUAUUUAAGUUGAGAUGAUAUCUUCAUCAAAUAUUAUCUGAUGAAGUCUACAGUUUUUAAUAUGAAUUUAGUUUUGUCUAUUGGUUCCCGUACCACCCGCUGUAGGUAGUGGAGGUGGUGCCUAUUCUCGACCGACUGAUACCUAUCGUAAAGUCUAGUGGCUCUGUGCUUCUGUGUAAGUUCCUGACCUCUGGUGGCAGGUUUAGGCGAUGCGGUUGCAUCGUCGGAACCUGCCUGGAGCAGGCCUUGAUCCUAUUCUGUAUAUGUGACGUCACAUGAGAGAUAGCACUGUGAGCCGUGUCGACCGAGUCGAUGACGUCCGGUAUAAGGUCAAGGUCGUCGGACUUGAUAGACUCGAGAUCCUUUUCCAGUCGUUGCCAGUCUAUCACUGUUUUCGUCGGUGGUUGAAAGUUAACCGGUGGGCCUAGAUUUAGGACGACGGGCCGGUGGUCUGACUCUAAUUCGUGACAAACUUCGAUUGAAUUUACAUUGAGCGUUACGUUUUUAAGUAACGCAACGUCUAGUAUGUCUGGUCGGUGCGCGACGUUAUUCGGAUAACGUGUUGGUUCGUCGGGUGCUAUUACUGAAAAGUUCAGCGUGUCUGUAAGCGAAUCUAAUAAGAUUCCGUUUCUAUUUGUGGCUCUACUGUUCAAGCUGGAGUGUUUGGCGUUAAGAUCGCCGCCCACUAUGACUGCGUCCCCGUGGCCGAGUAAUGCUUCUAUAUCUGUGUCUAAUAUUUGUUUGUUAGGCGGAAGAUAAGCUGAAAUAACAGUGAUCGGCUGGUGAUUCGCCAUACUGACUCUGAUGGCAGAGGAAUCGAUGUUAGUGAGGACCGGAGGAUCUAUAGGUAUACAGUGUAGAGACCUUUUAAAAUAAAUGAGGGUACCGCCCAUACGGGUGGUGCGAUCAUUCCUGACUAAGUUAUAAUUAGCGAUACGCGGAUCGCGUAUACGUGGUUUUAGAAAUGUCUCUUGCACUAAGAAUAGGUCUAAUUGAUGUUCGUGAGCGAACUCCUUCACCAAGUCUAGUUGAGGCUUAAGGCCUUGGGCGUUAAAAUACGCUAUACCUCGC